GAAGAAAGCCUUUGGUUCAUUCAUUCGGAUAGCCUCGGUAGUACAGCCCUGAAAUAGAAGUUGGGCUUUUAAAGAGAAAGGAAAAAAAGUCUCUACACUCGCUGAGAAGAGAUAAAUCGAUACACAGGAGGGAAUAGAGAAUCGGAUUCAGCGUCUCUAAUGCAGGCAGGCAAAAGGCUUCUGUGCCCUGUGGCUUGAAGUAAAAAAGAAACAAAACUCUUUAACAACUGUCCAGCCUGACUCUUGGAGAACGGCUUAAUGUUCUACUUAGCAUUCUGGGUGGUUUUUUGUUUUUCCAGUGUGCCUCUUCCUGUGUAAGGACUGGAAAGGACCCUGGAAACCACAGCCAGAAGUCCAACAAAGUCCUAAUACCUCAUAUUGCGGUGGCUCUAUUUCGAAGAAGACAAGACAUCUCAAGUUGAAGGCACUUAGAACUAAAGCAUUUACAUAAAGGGGCAUGGAGAACCUAGACAGUACCUCAAGAUGCUGGACAGUAUGUUUUCUCACCUGUAACAAGGAGGUUGUAAUGUAAAACCCACUGCAGUCACUCGGGUACUACAUGGACCAGUGUUACAAAGAGGCUCAUCCAGUGGAGGCUCAUCCAGUAUUCAAAUGAAGCUGAUGUUGUGG
rnacentral:lncRNA from 1 species